rnacentral:rRNA from 1 species
AGUGAACGCUGGCGGCAGGCCUAAUACAUGCAAGUCGAACGGCAGCACAGUGGAGCUUGCUCCAUGGGUGGCGAGUGGCGGACGGGUGAGGAAUACAUGGGAAUCUGCCCAGUCGUGGGGGAUAACGUAUGGAAACGUACGCUAAUACCGCAUGCGCCCUUCGGGGGAAAGUCGGGGACCGCAAGGCCUGACGCGAUUGGAUGAGCCCAUGUUCGAUUAGCUAGUUGGCGGGGUAACGGCCCACCAAGGCGACGAUCGAUAGCUGGUCUGAGAGGAUGAUCAGCCACACUGGAACUGAGACACGGUCCAGACUCCUACGGGAGCAGCAGUAGGGAAUAUUGGACAAUGGGCGCAAGCCUGAUCCAGCCAUGCCGCGUGAGUGAAGAA